UGUGUCCCCCUUCAAAAAUUGCUCUUAAGAAAUUUUAUAUUUAUUGUCCCCCCCUACUGUUAAAUGAAAUUUACGCCCAUGGGAAGAAUACAGAGUUGUCUGCUCUCGAAUUUGUUGGUCUGCACUGCACGGCUUCAGGUCAAGCACAUCUCAGUUCGUAGUGUCUAUGCGCAUGCGUGAAGCGGAGCCGAGAGCUGGGGAGGGGUGGAGUCUGACUGACUUUCUAAACGGUGCAAAAUGACGUUUAUUAUCUUUAAUUUAAUAACAUAGCACAUUUUUUUAUUGAUUAGAAAUGAUAUAAAUAUGAACUUUUUUAAUCACCUCUAACUAUUUUACCUAUAUCACAUUAAAAUAAUCUUUAGUAUUAUCACAAUCUCCUCAGAGCUUUUCUCUGUGUAUUGUAUAUACACGUUAUAAAGGUAGUGAAAGAGAAAGAGACUCCACAGUGCUUUUACUGUUUCACCCUCCUGUUAUCAUGAGGACACUAUAUGGAGAAAACACGGGUGAAAAUGGUUUGAAAAGUCAUUAUUUCCACAUUUUAGUAGACAAUUUCCUAGUUAUCUGCUAAUCGUUAACAAUUUUCAGUUUUUUAUAGGUGUUUAUCUCUGAGGUAAACCAGUUCACUCUCCACACUUACCUUCUUUAUAUCGUGCCUGUCACUUUAAUUACCACACAAUCUUUCAGAAGUAUACAUUAAAUAAAAACAACAGUAAAAUGUGAUUAAUUUAAAACAAAACCUAAUUUCUUACCGUGACAGAGAGGUCAGGUUAUCCAGGUCAGGUGAUCAGUGGUAGUGACUGAUGACCGUUUUUUCAGAAUCAGAAGGCGGGAACACAGGAGCCAAUGGGAGGCGCUGUAAGCUGCACAAGCUAUUUAUUUUAUUUAUUUUUUAAACUAAAUGUUAUUUUUAACAUAUACAUUUUUUGUUAAUCUAUUUAUCGUAUAAAACACGCAAAAAAAACAUAUAAAUUGAAUUUUUCAUCAAUUGAAUAAUUGAAUGAUAGAUUUCUUUUGAGAAAUAUAGCUAAAUUUAAGCCCAAUUGUGGCCCAUACAGGGCCCUCGAAUAAACAAAAUGGGCAACCUAACUGGGGCCCACAACCCUGACUAAGCUGGGGCCCACAUUCAGCCCAUCAAAGUGCCCACUCUGAACCCAUUCCCACAUGAUGCCCAUAUAACCCAGAUAAAACUAAAGACUUUAGAUAAGAACUAAAUCCCUGAACUUCUCAGACAGAUGGAGAGAAAACAACCCAUGAACACAUCCGUACACGUGGGUGAAGUUCCAUACAGGCAGGUUUUCUGCAGCACGUUUAGACAUGUUCCACAUAUUACACACGCCAUUAGGAACACGCUCACACACUCUGAUCUUCUCCCUACACCACUUUCAGACCACAAACUAAUCCCAGUCGAGUGCACACUAAUAACAACAACACAUAAGUUCCUACUGGCAUUUCAGUCAUAAACUUUACAGAAAAAAACAUUCUAUGAAAACUUCAAACACUUUUGGAAAGAAUGGAAAAAAGAGAAGAAGAGGUUUGAAUCUGUUGAAUCUAUGAGUCAGUGGUGGGAGAUCGGGAAAGUGCAUGUAAAGUGUAUUGAGGCUUAAAGCACUUCUGGACGUCGCUCUGGACACGGGUGUCUGCUUGAUGAAUUGUCUUUUGUCAAAAAACAAAACUUGAAAAGAUUUGGAGAAGAAACAUUUAACUUAACUCGUCAAAGUGUCGGUUUAAAGUGUCGACUCAAAGAGUCGAUUCAAAGAGUCGAGUCGGUUUUCCAAAAGAGAAAGUGUUCCUCAUCCUCGACUCCAUGUGGAGGAGCGGUUGGAAAAACGCAAAGAUCUUUAACAGCAGCCAGAAGCGGUGAGAUUCAUGUCCAACAACAUGCAGUGGUGAAGAAAAGUGGGAAUGUGAUUGAUUCCAGCAGAAGAGAUCGGCGUCUUCAGGACUCUGCGUGUACACGAGCAUUGAAAAAUGGAGAUCCCUGAUCAGGGUACAGAUCAUGUGACCUCACCCUCAAAAGACUGUAAACUACAGAGAGAGAAAUCACACUCACCAGUGCCCAGCUGUGUCUCCAUGAAGAGUGAUCAGUCUAAGGUGCAAUCUUUGGUAUUUAGCACUGGAAUCUCCUCACCUGGACCAAGUGUUCUACAGAAGGCAGGAGACAGAAGAGAGAAGAUCAUCAUCACAGCUACAGGG